rnacentral:lncRNA from 1 species
UUUCAUCAUAUUAACUUUUGCUGUUUUAUUUAUUUUGUUUAUAUGCUUAAUGUUAUUAUAAUUAGGAUUAGGAACAUCCUAAUUAUUGCAGAGAAUGUAGUGGUUGAAUGGUCAUGUUCAUUUUCUUGCAGUUGUAAGUAGCAUGGCUCAAGCCUGCCCCAAGUAAGAUGCUGUGUCAUUAUAAAAGGGGAAACGAGUAUUGACUUCAAAG